rnacentral:rRNA from 1 species
UGCUGGUCUCUAAGAUUAAGCCAUGCAUGUGCAAGUACAAGCCGCAUUAAGGCUAAACCGCGAACGGCUCAUUAAAUCGGCUAUGUUUCGUUGGAUCUGGUAGCCCCAAUUACUUGGAUAACUGUGGCAAUUCUAGAGCUAAUACAUGCAUCAAGUCUCCAACCGCAAGGGAAGAGCGCUUUUAUUAGUAUCUAAACUGGUCGGGCCACACGGCCUUUUAAACCACCUGUGAUGAGUCUGAGUAACUUUUCGCUGAGCGCACGGUCUCUGCACUGGCGCCGCGUCUUUCGAGUGUCCGCCUUAUCAGCUGUCGAUUGUAAGCUAUGCGCCUACAGUGGCGGUGACGGGUAACGGGGAAUCAGGGUUCGAUUCCGGAGAGGGAGCCUGAGAAACGGCUACCACAUCUAAGGAAGGCAGCAGGCACGCAAAUUACCCACUCCUGGCACGGGGAGGUAGUGACGAAAAAUAACGAUGCGAGACUCAUCCGAGGCCUCGUAAUCGGAAUGAGUACACUUUAAAUCCUUUAACGAGGAUCGAUUGGAGGGCAAGUCUGGUGCCAGCAGCCGCGGUAAUUCCAGCUUCAAUAGCGUAUAUUAAAGUUGCUGCGGUUAAAAAGCUCGUAGUUAGCUUUUUGGUUCCGGUGUGACGGGGGACACCACUGUGUGUGCUUACGGUCACGAUCCGGACAUCUACACCCAUGCCGGCUGGCACGAGGUGCUUCUCACAGGGUGUCGCGAGUGGCCGGUACGUUUACUUUGAAUAAAUUAGAGUGCUCAGAGCAGGCUACAUGAAAAGCCUGAACAAAUCCGCAUUGAAUAAUGAAAUAAGACCUCGGUUCCGCUUUUGGCUAGUUUUCGGAACCUGAGGUAAUGAUUAACGGAAACUGAUGGGGGCAUUCGUACUGAGACGCUAGAGGUGAAAUUCUUGGACCGUCGCAAGACGAACAACUGCGAAGGCAGUUGCCAGGCAUGUUUUCGUUAAUCAAGAACGAAAGUUAGAGGUUCGAAGGCGAUCAGAUACCGCCCUAGUUCUAACCAUAAACGAUGCCAACUAGCGAUCCGCCGGCGUUAUUCCCAUGACCCAGCUGGCAGCCUCCGGGAAACCAAAGUUUUUGGGUUCCGGGGGUAGUACGAUUGCAAAGUUGAAACUUAAAGGAAUUGACGNAAGGGCACCACCAGGAGUGGAGCUUCGGCUUAAUUUGACUCAACACGGAAACCUCACCAGGCCCAGACACCGGAAGGAUUGACAGAUUGAGAGCUCUUUCUCGAUUCGGUGGGUGGUGGUGCAUGGCCGUUCUUAGUUGGUGGAGCGAUUUGUCUGGUUAAUUCCGAUAACGAACGAGACUCUGGCCUAUUAACUAGUCGACGGAUCUCCAAAAAUUGGUGUCCAGUUCGCAACUUCUUCUUAGAGGGAUAAGCGGCAAUUCUAGCCGCACGAGACUGAGCAAUAACAGGUCUGUGAUGCCCUUAGAUGUUCUGGGCAGCACGCGCGCUACACUGAAGGGCUCAAAGUGUUCUCCCCCUCCGAGAGGAGCGGGUAACCAGUUCAAAGCCCUUCAUGAUAGGGAUUGGGGCUUGCAAUUCUUUCGCAUGAACGAGGAAUUCCUAGUAAGUGCAAGUCAUCAGCUUGCGCUGACUACGUCCCUGCCCUUUGUACACACCGCCCGUCGCUACUACCGAUUGAAUGAUUUAGUGAGGCCUUCGGACUGGCUCUCUUGGAUGUUCGAACCCUAUCUGCGCCUUGGCGCACCCGGGGUUCUCGCCUCGAGAUGACGGAAAGAUGUCCAAACUUGAUCAUUUAGAGGAAAGUAAAAGUCGUAACAAGGUUU